GGCAAUCUAGAGCAGUGUAGAGCAGCGUGGGAUACUGGGAUUUCUUCUAUUUACUCCAAACCAAGAACAGGAUUCAAGAAGACAAGAUUUCAGGUGUUCUCUCUCCAUUUUUCUGUAACCAUGUUGCAAAAAAAGCAUUUAUCUGGUUGUGCGAAAAGAAAAGAGAAGAAACUUGUAGAUGAAUUCAUUGGAACUCAAAAGGGUGCUAUUCAUAAAUUCGUUUUUAAAAAAUCCACUGCCGAGAAUCCAGAGGUAUUAGCUGUUCAUAGUGUUGAAGAAGAACAAUCUGAUGAAAACUUAGUCGAGGAAAAUGUUGACAACAUUGAUCUUGACACUAUUAUUAGUGAUUUUGCCUCUAAAAAUGCUCGAAGGUGUCGCUUCUCUUGAGUAUGCCAUUCACUUCUUUUUUGUGUAUUUUUCAGGUGGCUCCUGAUGUUUGCUGAUGCACGUUUGUGGAUGGACUGCUAGAGCUGGAGUUGUAGCUUCUAUCGUGUUGGAUCAAGAAUUGAGAACAAUUUUAGUUAAGAGUUCAGACAAGAUUUGUGGGUUGUUGGAGAGUGUAUCCUAAUCUUGUAAUCAUCUGAUAUAUCCGUGGACCGUGGUGUAUUAAGACCAUAUUUGCUAAUGAAAUUUACGCUUGCUUUUCUAAUGACUUUUCG
rnacentral:lncRNA from 1 species